AGCGAACGCUGGCGGCAGGCCUAACACAUGCAAGUCGAGCGGCCGUAGCAAUACGGCAGCGGCAGACGGGAGAGUAACACGUGGGAACGUGCCCUUUGGUUCGGAAUAACGCAGGGAAACUUGCGCUAAUACCGGAUAAGCCCUUACGGGGAAAGAUUUAUCGCCAUUGGAGCGGCCCGCGUCUGAUUAGCUAGUUGGUGAGGUAACGGCUCACCAAGGCGACGAUCAGUAGCUGGUCUGAGAGGAUGAUCAGCCUCACUGGGACUGAGACACGGCCCAGACUCCUACGGGAGGCAGCAGUGGGGAAUAUUGGACAAUGGGCGCAAGCCUGAUCCAGCCAUGCCGCGUGGAUGAUGAAGGCCCUAGGGUUGUAAAGCUCUUUCAGCUGGGAAGAUAAUGACGGUACCAGCAGAAGAAGCCCCGGCUAACUCCGUGCCAGCAGCCGCCGUAACAC
rnacentral:rRNA from 1 species